rnacentral:rRNA from 1 species
GACGAACGCUGGCGGCGUGCUUAACACAUGCAAGUCAAACGGUGAUGACAGGGCUUGCCUUGUCGGAUCAGUGGCGAACGGGUGAGUAACACGUGAGUAACCUGCCCCAGACUCUGGGAUAACCCCGGGAAACCGGAGCUAAUACCGGAUAUGACCCUUGUACGCAUGUGCUGGGGGUGGAAAGUUUUUCGGUCUGGGAUGGGCUCGCGGCCUAUCAGCUUGUUGGUGAGGUAGUGGCUCACCAAGGCGACGACGGGUAGCCGGCCUGAGAGGGCGACCGGCCACACUGGGACUGAGACACGGCCCAGACUCCUACGGGAGGCAGCAGUGGGGAAUAUUGCACAAUGGGCGAAAGCCUGAUGCAGCGACGCCGCGUGAGGGAUGACGGCCUUCGGGUUGUAAACCUCUUUCAGCAGGGAAGAAGCGGAAGUGACGGUACCUGCAGAAGAAGCACCGGCUAACUACGUGCCAGCAGCCGCCGUAAGAC